AAUCAGCUAAUUGUCUGUGGUAUGUAGUUUUCGCGCGGAGAGUGAAUCGAAGAGAGUGAGGUUAGGUGCAGACAACGAAGAUGGCAAUAACAAGUAGUAAUUCAAACAUGAACUGUAUAGCACCAGGCUGUAGGAAUUGGCUCCAAAAUAAAUCCCUCGGUAAGCUACCAUAGGCUGCCCAAGGACCCACAACUUUUCAAGAAGUUGCUCCAUGUCCUGAAGAGGAAGGACGUGUCAGCUCGAGCUAGCAGGAUCUGCAGCCAGCACAUCGCGGAGGAAGACUUUGCGAUGAAGGGCACUUUCGAUGCGGCAACCGGGAGUUUCGAAUGGAAAGGAGUCAUAGGCCUACGUUGAAGCCCUCUGCUUGCCGCUCCAUUUUCAAUUUCGAGGGUUAUGUUGUAUGGGUUACAGACCGACCAUCAUCAACAUCGCUGACUUCGGAGUCAAGCAAAAGCCGGACUGAACGGAGGAGGCGACGCGAGUCAAUGGAGCCUGAGGAUGACAUCUUUAUACCUGAAAAGAGUUUCAUCCUGGAGGAGACUGUGCAGGAGGAGGCAGAGGAGGAAAGAACGGUUAGUACAGCAUGCCAAACUGACCCCUGGGUGCCAGAGUGUUCCUGUGCUGCGGUAGAGAAGAGGUCCACCGGGACCAUCACUAAAGAGCUCGAGGCCCAGCUAGAUUGAGCUCACGACCAUCAGUAUACAACCGAGUCCUGCCCCAAUACGCCACAGAUGGAGCUGACGGAGAGUGAGAUCAACGAAGACCAGAACUCGCUGUAUGAACCUGAGCUCAGAAUCACAAUCAUCACAGUGCGAGCCAAGAUAUACUAUCAAAGAGUGUGUGCAAGAUCCGAAAUACAUAGUCUUUGAUAGCAAGCUGAAGGAGUUGUUCAAUGUCUGCCUUGAGCCAGGAUGUCGAGCAGGUGUCAUCAGUUCAUCCCUGAAAAUAAGUGGUUUUGCCAUCACGAUGGAGACAGUGUGUUGUCGGCCACAGGAGGAAGUGGGAGUCCCAGACCAGUGUGGGAAAGUUGUUUGCAGGGAAUCUGUUGAUGCCAUCAGCGGUCUCCCUUACUGGCGGCUCCCACUCCACUUUUGUGGAAACAUGUCACCUCCUCAGCCUGGUGUCCAUGUCGCUGCGACAGUUCGCAAACCAACAGAGCAUCUACAUUGUGCCAGAGGUUAACUACAUGUGGACCCAGCACAUUGAGGCCAUUCUGGCUACAAUUGGUGACAGUCCACUAAUCGUAUCUGGAGACGCACGGUGUGAUUCGCCAGGCCUUGUGCCUCCUUUGGCACUUACACCAUCCUGGACUCUGCUUCCCACCUGAUCCUCGCCCAGGAGACUGUGCAUGUGACCGAAGUGAAGAACAGCUACUGGUUGGAGACGGAGGGAUAAAGAGAUGCCUGCAACACGUUGAGGCCCAUGGAUGCAGUAUUGAAACUCUGGCCACUGACAGGCAUCCAAGUGUGAGGGUGCACUUGAGGGACUCACAUGCUGAUAUCUGGCAUGAGUAUGACCUGUGACACAUUGCCAAAAGGUGUGAGGAAAAAGCUGGUGGCCAUCGGGAAGCCAGAAGUACUGCCAUGGGUGAGGGCAUUAACGCACCACUUGUGGUACUGUGCCACGACUGCUGGUGGGAGUGUCCAGGUGCUAAAAGAAAAGUGGAUCACUGAAGUUCACCACAUCACAAAACCCUUGUUUUUGUUUUUUUGUGCAUUCCUAUGUGAAUAAUUACAACCGAUUGAUUUAAUAAAAUCAGUAACAGUAUAAUUGUAGUAGCCUACUUAUUAAUCUCUAGUUACAUUAAUUUGAUAUUUUCUUUUGUAGGUGACGAAGUGUGUUCAGACAGGUGAACUCGAGAGUGUACAUGCCCUGUGCCCAAAAGGAACAAGUUCGGCCAGCAGGGGAUGGUCGCAAGACUCCAAGUGGCUGCCUUGGACCACAAUUAUUCGGUGGACAGACAGCAGGCUCCAACAAAGGAGGGAGUGCUCCGUUUCAAGCAAGAGUUCUCCAAGGCUGCCAGGGCGUUUGUGGUGAAACCCAUCAAGGAGGAGAAGACAUGGUGUUUCCGGUCUGAGCUCCAACACGGCAUCGUUGACCGCUGUGCCAAUGGAUCAUCCCAGCGGACUCUCCUAAGUGCCCAAAGAGAGAGAGUGGUGGUCACUUUGGGGGAGCAGGCUGGUGUUCCGAAAAUGGAGAAGGAGUAGGCCAUUCAACAGCGAAUUCAAAGAUACACACAUCCAUAAAGGGAAUCGGAGUGGAAUUGUUUUUCCACUGAUUUUUUUACCCGUUUCAACGAAAGUGCUACCUUGUCCCAGACCUGCUGUUUCGACUCUCUCUCUCCCGGAUCUG